rnacentral:rRNA from 1 species
AGACCCUCAGAAAUUGACGUGUGCUAUUAUCUCUUAGGCAUUGAUGGCCCCAAAAAGCAUCAUUGCAUGCUCCUAAAGCGACCCCAGGUCAGGCGGGACUACCCGCUGAGUUUAAGCAUAUCAAUAAGCGGAGGAAAAGAAACUUACCAGGAUUCCCUUAGUAACGGCGAGCGAACCGGGAAAAGCCCAGA